GAAAUUGACAAACGGUUUAUUGAGGAGAAAGUGAGGACUGCAGAUGCUGGAGAUCAGAGCUGAAAGUGUGUUGCUGGAAAAGCGCAGCAGGAAAACGGUAUAUUGAACAAAGCAAAAUUGUGGAAGAGAAAUUGACCAGGCUGACACAGAAUUGAUUCUCUGCACAGAUGGCUAGGAUUCUCUUCCCUGAGUGGAAGGUGCAGACAGGCUUUAUAGGGGCACUGCACAUAGGUGAUAAUUGUAAAGCAGUUACAGUACAAUGGGGAAAAUUGUGAAGCGAUUAAAACAAGAAUAAACUGAAUGAAAAUUAAUCAAACGUCCGGCAGCAGCAAUUCAUUUGUAGUUGACACAGGAGAUUCCAGCCAUUUCCGUGAGUGGGUUAGGAUGUCUUCUAGAGGAUUCUUCAUUGUAUUUCCUGUCCGCACGCAGAUGUGUGAAUGUCUCUUCUCCUGGCAUCCAGGUCUGUCCGUUGUGUUCCUCCUGCGAGCGAAAUCUUCCGGGGACUCUCAGUCUGCCUCUUUGUUUAUGUGGUAUUGGUUUCAACAGGAAGUGAGCCUGCCCUUAGCGUUUUGGGAUCGCAGUGCUAAUCGGGGCUGGGAGCUUUACUGUGCAGGCUGUUUGGGAAGUGUAUUCUCUGGUCUGGGAGCAGCUUGGCCAUACCUGGUUUCUUUGUUAGCCUGCUUGGCCAAGACAUUGUGGGGCAUUGUGGGUGUGUUCUAUGUGUGUUGGCAGGCUUGAUCUCUGUGUUUCACAAACCUGACUCUGUGUUUCUUAUGUGGUCAUGCUGUAGGUGGGCAGGGUAGCAGAUCUUUCUCCCAUAACAAGGAAGAGAGAGAGAGGCAGAGAGUGUUCAGACAGGCAGCUCCAGUGUUCAGAGUUCAGGACCAAUACGGUUGGAAUGUGGAGUUAAGGAAGUGAAGGAUGAAGCAAAGGCCAGAUUUGGAAAACUGCAGAACCUUUGGAUGGUUGUGAGACUGGAGAUAAGGUUACAGAGGUUACAGAGAUAAGGAGGGGCAUGAAGUCUUGAGGAACCUGGACAUUAGAGUGAGAACUAUCGAGAUAAAAAACUGUGGAAGUGUUCCGUGCCUUCAGUCAAUUCAUUCCAACAAUCGAAGUGGAUGGUCAACUCGUUUGGCCAUGAGUCAAGAUUAGAGUGGUACUGGAAAAGCACAGCAAAUCAGGCAGCAGCUGAGGAGCAGGAAAAUGGACGUUACAGACAAAAGCCCUUCAUCGGGAAAACUUGCUUGAUCAUGUUAUGAAUACAUUUUCCAUGGCUGUUAACUCCUGGAGUGGGACUUGAACCUGGAGUUAUUAUCUCAGAUACACGGAUGGCACAAUACCUCCACGCUGUCAUGUUACUGGGACCAUUAUUUCAAAAGCCAUGAGUUCAAAUUCUAUCACAGCUGCUUAGAACUUUCAAACCAAUGAACUAAAUAAACUUGUCAUAAAAACUUUGCAUCAAAAACAGUAACCCAGGACAUGACUGGGUUGCUAAUGUUGUUGGUGGAAGGAAUUCUUUGGAAUUUACCACACCCCCAGCAACGCGCAUGACUAAACAAUGAUAGAUUGAGCAAGGAGGAUUGCAAAGAGACCUCGGUGUCUUCAUGCACCAGCCACUGAGAGACUAGCACUUUCAGAAGGCAGUGAGGGAGAGUCUGCAGCUGAAACACCGAAACCGACAGCAACUGGAGCAGCAGCAGGGAAAGUCCAACUCCUGUUUGAAGACCUUCACAUCAGAGCUGAUGAGAGGAGCAUGGGUAACACUGAGGCUGAGGAUGACAGUCAAGGCUAGCCACACUGGGAAGAGGCAGAGAUUUCAGAGGAGGUCUGCUCUGUGGGAGUAAUUAAAGUCUCCAGAAGUGCAAUUUGCAACCACUGAGAAAAAAAAGCUGCCAAGAUCAGACAUAGAAGGAGGGACGGGGAUUGAGAAGAGAAUUCACGUGACUCAAAAUGAACAUUGCCACUACUGUGAAUAUGCUCUGUAAGGCCAGUAAUUAAAAAUAACUCGUAAUGUGGUCAUGGUAGCAUAAAUUAUAGAUUGUGUGUAUCAGUACAUCUAUCACAGAUUAUAAUUAAGGCAAUAAAAGACAAAACUAAGAAGAUUUGAAGGAUGAAUUUAACAGUAGGUGUUCGUUUGAACAACUUCAAGGCUUUUAGAAAAGCAAACAUUCCAAGAAGUAAACCAUAUUUUAGCUGGAGAUUUUAUUAAGGGUGCAGCCAAAGAGGAUUUUUUCAAAUUAUGCGAGGGAACAUGAGAACACCAUCACCUGCAAGUUCCCCUCCAAG